GACGAACGCUGGCGGCGUGCCUAAUACAUGCAAGUAGAACGCUGAAGGAGGAGCUUGCUUCUCUGGAUGAGUUGCGAACGGGUGAGUAACGCGUAGGUAACCUGCCUGGUAGCGGGGGAUAACUAUUGGAAACGAUAGCUAAUACCGCAUAAGAGUAGAUGUCGCAUGACAUUUGCUUAAAAGGUGCAAUUGCAUCACUACCAGAUGGACCUGCGUUGUAUUAGCUAGUUGGUGAGGUAACGGCUCACCAAGGCAACGAUACAUAGCCGACCUGAGAGGGGGAUCGGCCACACUGGGACUGGGACACGGCCCAGACUCCUACGGGAGGCAGCCGUAGGGAAUCUUCGGCAAUGGACGGAAGUCUGACCGAGCAACGCCGCGGGAGUGAAGAAGGUUGUCGGAUCGUAAAGCUCGGUUGUAAGAGAAGAACGAGUGUGAGAGUGGAAAGUUCACACUGUGACGGUAUCUUAACAGAAAGGGACGGCUAACUACGUG
rnacentral:rRNA from 1 species